rnacentral:rRNA from 1 species
GAUGAACGCUGGCGGCGUGCCUAAUACAUGCAAGUCGAGCGAACAGACGAGGAGCUUGCUCCUCUGACGUUAGCGGCGGACGGGUGAGUAACACGUGGAUAACCUACCUAUAAGACUGGGAUAACUUCGGGAAACCGGAGCUAAUACCGGAUAAUAUAUUGAACCGCAUGGUUCAAUAGUGAAAGACGGUUUUGCUGUCACUUAUAGAUGGAUCCGCGCCGCAUUAGCUAGUUGGUAAGGUAACGGCUUACCAAGGCAACGAUGCGUAGCCGACCUGAGAGGGUGAUAGCCCACCCUGGAACUGAGACACGGUCCAGACUCCUACGGGAGGCAGCAGUAGGGAAUCUUCCGCAAUGGGCGAAAGCCUGACGGAGCAACGCCGCGUGAGUGAUGAAGGUCUCCGGAUCGUAAAACUCUGUUAUUAGGGAAGAACAAAUGUGUAAGUAACUAUGCACGUCUUGACGGUACCUAAUCAGAAAGCCACGGCUAACUACGUG